UACGUAGGCAGCAAGCGUUGUUCGGAGUUACUGGGCGUAAAGGGUGUGUAGGCGGUUAUUUAAGUUUGGGGUGAAAUCUCCCGGCUCAACUGGGAGGGUGCGCCGAAUACUGAAUAACUUCGAGUGCGGGAGAGGAAAGUGGAAUUCCUGGUGUAGCGGUGAAAUGCGUAGAUAUCAGGAGGAACACCGGUGGUGUAGACGGCUUUCUGGACCGUAACUGACGCUGAGACACGAAAGCGUGGGUAGCAAACAGG
rnacentral:rRNA from 1 species